CUACGGGUGGCAGCAGUGGGGAAUAUUGGACAAUGGGCGAAAGCCUGAUCCAGCCAUGCCGCGUGUGUGAAGAAGGCCUUCGGGUUGUAAAGCACUUUCAGUGGGGAAGAAAGCCUUGGGGCUAAUACCCUCGAGGAAGGACAUCACCCACAGAAGAAGCACCGGCUAACUCCGUGCCAGCAGCCGCGGUAAUACGGAGGGUGCGAGCGUUAAUCGGAAUUACUGGGCGUAAAGCGCGCGUAGGCGGUCUGAUAAGCCGGUUGUGAAAGCCCCGGGCUCAACCUGGGAACGGCAUCCGGAACUGUCAGGCUAGAGUGCAGGAGAGGAAGGUAGAAUUCCCGGUGUAGCGGUGAAAUGCGUAGAGAUCGGGAGGAAUACCAGUGGCGAAGGCGGCCUUCUGGACUGACACUGACGCUGAGGUGUGAAAGCGUGGGUAGCAAACAGGAUUAGAUACCCUAGUAGUC
rnacentral:rRNA from 1 species